rnacentral:rRNA from 1 species
UACGGGGGGGGCAAGCGUUGUUCGGAAUUACUGGGCGUAAAGGGCUCGUAGGUGGCCAACUAAGUCAGACGUGAAAUCCCUCGGCUUAACCGGGGAACUGCGUCUGAUACUGGAUGGCUUGAGUGUGGGAGAGGGAUGCGGAAUUCCAGGUGUAGCGGUGAAAUGCGUAGAUAUCUGGAGGAACACCGGUGGCGAAGGCGGCAUCCUGGACCAAUUCUGACACUGAGGAGCGAAAGCCAGGGGAGCAAACGGG